CCGUAGGUGAACCUGCGAAGAUCAUAAGAGAUAGGGUCUUCAUGGCCCGACCUCCAACCCUCUGUUGUUAAACUACCUGUUGCUUGGCGGGACCGUCUCGGUCUCCGAGCGCACUAACCCUCGGGUUGGUGAGCGCCCGCCAGAGUCCAACCCAAACUCUGUAUUAAACCAGUCGUCUGAGUAUAAAAUUUUAAUUAAAUUAAAACUUUCAACCACGGAAUCUCUUGGUUCUCGCAUCGAUGAAGAACGCAGCGAAAUGCGAUAAGUAAUGUGAAUUGCAGAAUUCAGUGAAUCAUCGAAUCUUUGAACGCACAUGGCGCCCCUUGGUAUUCCGAGGGGCAUGCCUGUUCGAGCGUCAUUACACCACUCAAGCAUCGCUUGGUAUUGGGAACGGUCCGUCGCAAGGCGGGCCUUCCUCGAAGACCUCGGCGGGGUUCAACCAACUUCGGGCGUAGUAGAGUUAAAUCGAAACGUCUUAUAAGCUUGGUCGGAUCUCAUUGCCGUUAAAAACCUUUAAAUUUUCUAGGUUGACCUCGGAUCAGGUAGGCA
rnacentral:rRNA from 1 species